GAAUGCUUCACCCUCUUAAGAAUAGAAUGAUUCUAUAGUUGUAACUAUGCGAUCUUGUACACUUUAUAUAUAUAUACUUGUUAUUGAAAAUAAUAAUAUAAUACAUUCUAGUCAUUAAUUUUUUUUUUUACAAAAUUCCCAUGAAUAGGUCAAGAAGUAUUAAAACUCAUGAUGUCCGUGGAAUACCAAAUUUUAUUGGAUCCAGCUGCAAAUUCUCUGUGCCC
rnacentral:lncRNA from 1 species